rnacentral:rRNA from 1 species
UACGUUUUGAUUUUUAACUCUAUUUGUUGUAGUAUUUUAAACUUUUAUAUAUUUUUUACUUUAUUUUUUGUAAAAUGUUUUAAUUUGAUUUUGUUUUUUUAAGAUAUUAAAAAUUUGGUUUUUGAACUGGAUUAGUACCCAGGUAAUCAAAGUUUAUUAAUUCGGGAGUAAAGUUUUGUUUAAACCGAAAAAAUAUUGACUGACCUUAGAUUUUUCUUUGGAAUAUGUGUUUUGCUGGAGAGCCCUCUUUUUUGGUGAAUUUUGUUGGCACAUGUAUGAUUGUUUAGUUUUUAUUUUAUUUUGUAAUGCUUUUUGUGUUGGCAUUUAAAACAGAUAUAUACUUGGCUUAUAAAUUUAUUUUUCAUGUGUUACUAUUAUAAAUUUUUUUUGGAUUAAUUUUUUAUUUUUUUUUUGAAAUUGGAAAAGAAAGUAAUUUUUUCUUAAUGUUUUGAUGAAUUUAAUAAAUAAGGU